rnacentral:rRNA from 1 species
AUUGAACGCUGGCGGCAGGCCUAACACAUGCAAGUCGAACGAGUGGCGGACGGGUGAGUCAUGUCUGGGAAACUGCCUGAUGGAGGGGGAUAACUACUGGAAACGGUAGCUAAUACCGCAUACCAUCAGAUGUGCCCAGAGUGGAUUAGAUUGUUGGUGGGGUAACGGAUCACAAAGGCGACGAUACCUAACUGGUCGGAGAGGAUGACCAGCCACGCGUGAACUGAGACACGGUCCAGACUCCUACGGGAGGCAGCAGUGGGGAUUAUUGCACAAUGGGCGCAAGCCUGAUGCAGCCAUGCCGCGUGUAUGAAUAAGGCCUUCGGGUUUUAAAGUACUUGCAGCGGGGAGGCGUUACCCGCAGAAGAAGCACCGGCUAACUCCGUGCCAGCAGCCGCGGUAAUUC